rnacentral:rRNA from 1 species
CUCCAAGGAAAGUUCUCUCCUGUAACGAAAAUUAUUCUUCCUGGUCAAACCGCAGAUGAGAAAAGUGCACAGGUCAAUCUACAAACUAAAGCAGUUGGUCAACUUCUCGACUUGAAGGACCAUCUUACGUUUAGCACACGUUUCUUCUGCUCGGUCACUCUGUCCAGGCUCAGUCCUGGUCAGCGUUGGUGGUUCAUGUCUUGUGAGAAGUGCCAUAAAACAGCACAGCGACAUGGCUCUGUCUACAGGUGCAUUGACCCCACAUGUGCCUCCACCGACGCAAUGCCAAGAUAUCGCAUAUGCUUCAGAUGCACUGACGAUUCAAGGGAGGCCGAGUUUAUUUUCUUCGACAGGGUUGGAAAAGAGAUUGUUGCUAAAUCUUUGAUCACUUUGCUACGUGAAGGGUAUUCCAAUCGUACAACCCUUGAAGAGAUUGUUGAAAUAGCACGUGGAGACCCAGGCAUCCCUAAAGACAUAUCCACUUUGAUUGGCAAGAAGUACAGAUUUGUGGUGUCUAUCUCUUCAAAGAGCUUUAUGCCUGAUGCCGAGGAGACAUCCUUCCAAGUUAUCAGCAUAGAUGUGCCUGUGGAAAAGACCUCGAGCUCUGCGGUUUUAUAUCGCAAGGCAGAUUCCUCUGGACCUUCUACUGGUGAUGUGGGGUGUCCUGGUUCUGGUGAUGUAUCACCCUUAGUGUUGCCCGUUGGAAGCUUCUCAACUGAU